GGAAUCUUAGACAAUGGGGGAAACCCUGAUCUAGCCAUGCCGCGUGAGUGACGAAGGCCCUAGGGUUGUAAAGCCCUUUCGGCGGGGAAGAUAAUGACGGUACCCGCAGAAGAAGCCCCGGCUAACUUCGUGCCAGCAGCCGCGGUAAUACGAAGGGGGCUAGCGUUGCUCGGAAUCACUGGGCGUAAAGCGCACGUAGGCGGCUUCUUAAGUCGGUGGUGAAAUCCUGGAGCUCAACUCCAGAACUGCCUUCGAUACUGAGAGGCUCGAGUCCGGGAGAGGUGAGUGGAACUGCGAGUGUAGAGGUGAAAUUCGUAGAUAUUCGCAAGAACACCAGUGGCGAAGGCGGCUCACUGGCCCGGUACUGACGCUGAGGUGCGAAAGCGUGGGGAGCAAA
rnacentral:rRNA from 1 species